GACAAACGCUGGCGGCGUGCCUAACACAUGCAAGUCGCACGUCCUCUCUGAUUUCGGUCAGGGAGGGAGUGGCGGACGGGUGAGUAAUACGUGGGUACCUGCCCAUAGGUGAGGAAUACCGGCGAGAAAUCGCUGACAAUACCGCAUACGCUUCGCAAGAAGCAAAGCUAUCCGCAAGGAUAGCGCCUGUGGAGGGGCCUGCGUCCGAUUAGCUGGCUGGUGGGGUAAUGGCUCACCAGGGCGACGAUCGGUAGCUGGUCUGAGAGGAUGAUCAGCC
rnacentral:rRNA from 1 species